CUUUUGGGUGCAAUGGCAAUUAAGAGGCAUGAAUUUUGAGCGGGAGAAACUUUCUUUGUCUCUUGUUUAUGGUCCAUUUGCAUGUUUAUUGCUGGUCUGGAAGAUCGGUGCAGUUUUACCUAAAAUAUGCUACAAAUAGUAAGAUGCAUUUCACGAUCACAUAGUGUACAUCAUUGUUUGAGGAAUAAAGAGCAGAUCAUUUUGAUACCAAGAACGAAACAUC